rnacentral:lncRNA from 10 species
CUGGGAAGAGUGAAACAGGGAAGAAUGGAAAGCCAGCCCAAGGGUGUGCUGUCUGGCUGAUUUACUGUGCGGGCAACUGGAGUUCUAACUGGUGAGGACAGCUCUGAGGAAUGUUGCGGAAAGUGCUCCAGAAUUAUGUGUCUGAGGCUCUGAGGAGGAGAGUAUUUUUCCCUUGUAUCCCGCCAUUCUUGGUCAAGAGUUUUCCCAUAGACUAUUAAGGCAGUAACAUUUACAGGGUUGCAAUGAGUGAGAGGAAGGAGUCCUGCAGGUAACCUAUGUGGCUGCAUCAGAGAAGCCAUGGGAAAGAAAGUCAGGUGUGCGAAGGGCAGCUGAGGGGAACUGCCAUCAACUAUACCUAGAGUAAUAAAAUGGUGGGCCAAGAUGACAUGAAGUGAGGCACAACAGAUGUCCUGCAAAGAACAAAGAGGGUCUCUUGGAGCUGAAAACAAUUCCAAAGCAAGCUCAACCCAAGCCAAAGAAAGACGCCCCUGCCGGAUGUGGGGAAUGCACCAUUUGCCUUGUCUCCAUCACAGAUGGAAGCACAUCCUGUCCCAACAGGAUCCUCAGCAGGUAGCCCGAGUUUGUUGGACACAAGAUUACCAAGAGCA